UUUCUUCUUUCUUUUGUAUAUACAGAUGUUUUAAAUUUCUAGUGUUCUCUCUCGUCUCUCUGUUGUCUUGGUAUAUAGUAUUAGUGAUUACUGUAAUUGAAAAGGAAAUAGUCUGACAAAAUUGAUCCCCCGAGCGCACACCCACUUGAGCUCAGUUGUGCGGGAGAGAGAGAGAGUGAGAAAGAAAGGGAAGGAAGGUAGAACAAAUUGAGGAAUUGAAUUGAAGAAG
rnacentral:lncRNA from 1 species